rnacentral:rRNA from 1 species
GACGAACCGUCCAAACGUUGUUCGGAAUCACUGGGCUUAAAGGGCGCGUAGGCGGACUGCCAAGUCCGGGGUGAAAUCUUUCGGCUUAACCGGAAAAGGCCUUGGAAACUGGCGGUCUCGAGGGAGGUAGGGGCCUGUGGAACUUCGGGUGGAGCGGUGAAAUGCGUUGAUAUCCGAAGGAACGCCGGUGGCGAAAGCGACGGGCUGGAUCUCUUCUGACGCUGAGGCGCGAAAGCCAGGGGGAGCAAACGGGG